CAGUCACCCUAGUAAUUUGUCUGUUUUUUUGUGUUCAAAACAGAUUCAAGUAAUCCGAUGGAGGCUGUUAGAGAAUCUGAAUCUCCACAAAAAAGGGUGGCCAAAAAAGCAAGAUUGGAGACAUCUAAGCGACUUAAGGAUAAACGAGAUGGAAAUGUUGGCUCACAUAACGAACCUCCGAUUGAUGGAACAGGU